CCCUUAGAUGUUCUGGGCCGCACGCGCGCUACAAUGGCAGACUCAGCGAGUUACCUCUGUCGAAAGGCACAGGGAAUCUUUACAGUAUCUGCCGUGAUGGGGAUAGACCCUUGUAAUUUUUGGUCUUCAACGAGGAAUUCCUAGUAAACGCAAGUCAUUAACCUGCAUUGAUUACGUCCCUGCCCUUUGUACACACCGCCCGUCGCACCUACCGAUUGAAUGGUCCGGUGAAGUCCUCGGACCCAGUUGAACCUCGAGUUGAACAGGGAAAGUUGACUAAAUCUUACCAUUUAGAGGAAGGUGAAGUCGUAACA
rnacentral:rRNA from 1 species